UACGUAGGGGGCGAGCGUUGUCCGAAGUUACUGGGCGUAAAGCGCGCGUAGGCGGUCAUUUAAGUCUGAGGUGAAAGGUUCAGCGCUCAACGUGAACAGUGCCUUGGAUACUGGGUGACUUGAGUUCGGGAGGGGGCAGUGGAAUUCCAGGUGUAGCGGUGAAAUGCGUAGAUAUCUGGAGGAACACCGAUGGCGAAGGCAGCUGCCUGGCCCAGAACUGACGCUGAGGUGCGAAAGCGUGGGGAGCGAACAGG
rnacentral:rRNA from 1 species